rnacentral:rRNA from 1 species
GAUGAACGCUGGCGGCGUGCCUAAUACAUGCGAGUCGAGCGAACAGAUAAGGAGCUUGCUCCUUUGACGUUAGCGGCGGACGGGUGAGUAACACGUGGGUAACCUACCUAUAAGACUGGGAUAACUUCGGGAAACCGGAGCUAAUACCGGAUAACAUUUGGAACCGCAUGGUUCUAAAGUGAAAGAUGGUUUUGCUAUCACUUAUAGAUGGACCCGCGCCGUAUUAGCUAGUUGGUAAGGUAACGGCUUACCAAGGCGACGAUACGUAGCCGACCUGAGAGGGUGAUCGGCCACACUGGAACUGAGACACGGUCCAGACUCCUACGGGAGGCAGCAGUAGGGAAUCUUCCGCAAUGGGCGAAAGCCUGACGGAGCAACGCCGCGUGAGUGAUGAAGGGUUUCGGCUCGUAAAACUCUGUUAUUAGGGAAGAACAAACGUGUAAGUAACUGUACACGUCUUGACGGUACCUAAUCAGAAAGCCACGGCUAACUACGUG